GCGGGCCCCCGCGCUGCUUCUGCGACCAAGCGUGCGGCGCGGCGCGGCGCGGGACUGCUGCGCAGACUAUACGCGGGUCUGCCCAGGUGCACCCGGGGAAAGCCACUCCCAUCCAGCCAUUCCUGGGUCAUCACUUCCUGUAAAGAUGUCAGUUUCCCUGAGGAAGAUCGGGAAGAUCAUCCUGACUUGCUAAUAUGUGCCAAGUGCCUCACCACAUGACCUGACUCUGUGAGGUCUUGCUGUAUUGCCCAAGGCUGGAGGACAGUGAUGCAAUCAUGGCUCCCUGCAGCCUUGAUCUUCUGAGCUCAGUCCCUGCUUUGAUAACCACAGGCAGCUACGGGAAAGAGUGGGAAAAGUGAGAUAGUCCCAAGAAACAGGCAACAGCAGGGAACAAGAUGUGGCUGUGGCAAGCGGCCAGCCAUCCCCGGUGCCGAGGGACCUGGGAGAAGCUAGGGCAGCUCCGGCAUUGUUCCUGCCCUGUGGUCCACAGCCUCGUCUUCAUCUAGCGUCUGCACCCCCUAACCGUCUUUCCAAAGCCUCGGGGAUGGCAGGGAAACUGCAGGGCUUGGGAUCCCGCAGAACCAAAGAGUUGGGAGAAAUCUGCAAUUUUGAGACUGAAGGAACAAGCCUUGUCGUUAUGUUGACACUGAAAAUAGCUUUAUGCUUCCACUCAGUGCCAGCUGAGUCACGGUCCUACUGACAUCUCCUGCCCAUUCAGGGCUUCCCACAUUUCAUCUCCCAGACACACUCUCCUGGCCCUUGCCCUAUUCUCCUUAUUGUAUACUUAAUUUUUUAAUGAACUCUCUCCCUUCCCUUCCCUUUCCUUCCCUCUCUCUCUCUCUUUCUUUCUUUUCUCUUUUUUGGAUGGAGUUUCACUCUUGUCACCCAGGUUGGAGUACAGUGGGGUGAUCUUAGCUCACUGCAACUUCCACCUCCCAGGGUUCAAGCGAUUCUCCUGCCUCAGCCUCCUGAGUAGCUGGGAUUACAGGCGUGCACCACCAUGCCUGGCUAAUUUUUGUAUUUUUAGUAGAGAUGGGGUUUCACCAUUUGACCAGGCUGGUCUUGAACUCCUGACCUCAGGUGAUGUGCCUAACUCGACCUCCCAAAGUGCUGGGAUUACCGGCAUGAGCCACCGUGCGCAGCCCCUCCUUCCCUCCCUUGUCUCCCUCCCCCACUUCCCUCUCCCCCCCUUCUCUCUCCCCCUUCCCCCCCUUCCCUCUCCCCCUCCCCCCUCCCUCCCUCCCUCCCUCCCUUCCUCCCUUCCUUCCUUCCUUCCUUCCUUCCUUCCUUCCUUCCUUCCUUCCCUCUUUCUUGACAGAAUCUCCCUCUGUCACCCAGGCUGGAGUGCAGUGGCACAAUCUCUGCUUGCUACAACCUCGGCCUCCCAGGUUCAAGCGAUUCUGUCACUUCAGCCUCCCUAGUAGCUGGGACUACAGGUGCACACCACCAUGCCCAGCUAAUU
rnacentral:lncRNA from 1 species